UGAGGAAUUUUGCGCAAUGGGGGAAACCCUGACGCAGCAACGCCGCGUGGGUGAAGAAGGCUUUCGGGUCGUAAAGCCCUGUCAGGUGGGAAGAACCGUUUCGAUACUAAUAAUGUCGAAGCCUGACGGUACCACCAGAGGAAGCACCGGCCAACUCCGUG
rnacentral:rRNA from 1 species